UACGGAGGGUGCGAGCGUUGUCCGGAAUCACUGGGCGUAAAGGGCGCGUAGGCGGCCUGAUAAGUAGGGGGUGAAAUCCUGCGGCUUAACCGCAGGGCUGCCUUCUAAACUGUCAGGCUCGAGCACAGUAGAGGCAGGUGGAAUUCCCGGUGUAGCGGUGAAAUGCGCAGAUAUCAGGAAGAACACCCGUGGCGAAGGCGGCCAUCUGGACGGAUACUGACGCUGAGACGCGAAAGCGUGGGUAGCAAACAGG
rnacentral:rRNA from 1 species